rnacentral:lncRNA from 1 species
CUCCUCCCUUUUCUGCUCACGCGUAGGGGUCGGGACCCCCACAAAGGGGGAGGGAGUCGACUGAACAUCUCAGCCAUUGGCGGGAAUUUCGCCCGCAUCCGAUCCCCAAUUCUUGUUCACCCCGGAUGAUCGUGUUGGGUGAAUUGUGACCUCGUACGAUCGUGUCGGGUGAGCAACAGCCGCUUCGUCACAGUACUUACUUAUGGGCUAACAGGUCACACUUUGGCCAAGUAUCCUACAAAGAGACUCCCGAGAGCCAGAAGUAUUAAAGGAAUGGCCAUAGGAAUGGGCGCAUCAUGACAUCGUAAGAUGUCUCGCC